rnacentral:tRNA from 1 species
GUAACUAUAAUUUAAUGGUAAAAUCUCCGUAUGUGGAACGGUCCAUCUGAGUUCAAUUCUCAGUAGUUACC